rnacentral:rRNA from 1 species
UACGGGGGGGGCAAGCGUUGUUCGGAAUUACUGGGCGUAAAGGGCUCGUAGGUGGCCAACUAAGUCAGACGUGAAAUCCCCAGGCUUAACCUGGGAACUGCGUCUGAUACUGGAAGGCUUGAGGAUGGGAGAGGGAUGUAGAAUUCCAGGUGUAGCGGUGAAAUGCGUAGAUAUCUGGAGGAAUACCGGCGGCGAAGGCGGCAUCCUGGACCAUUACUGACGCUGAGGCGCGAAAGCUAGGGGAGCAAACGGG